CCCCGUAUCCCUCCGCCGCUCCUCCUCCGCCCGGCCCCGGCCCCGGCCCCCCUCCCUCUGGGCUGCGCUCGCCACCCUCCGCCUCAGACUGUUUUGGUAGCAACGGCAACGGCGGCGGCGCGUUCCGGCCCGGCUCCCGGCAGCUCCUCGGUUUCGGCGGGCCCCCCCGCCCCUUCGUCGUGCUCCUUCUCCCCGUCGCGGGCCCGGGCGCCCCCCCGGCCGCGCCAACCCGCGCCUCCCCGUUCGGCGCCCGCGCGUCCCCGCCGCGCUCCGGCGUCUCCUCGGCGCGCCCGGCUCCCGGCUGUUCCCGCCCGGCGUGCGGGCCGGUGUAUGGGCCCCGCACCAUGUCGCUGAAGCCCCAGCAGCAGCAGCAGCCGUCCGCGGCCGCCAAUGCCCGCAAGCCCGGUGGCGGCGGCCUUCUCACGUCGCCCGCCGCCCCGCCGUCCUCGCCCUCGGUCUCGUCCUCGACCCCGGCUUCCUCCUCCUCCUCCUCGGCGGCGGCGGCGGCGAGCGCAGGCAGCGGGCGGCCCGGCCUGGGCAGAGGUCGAAACAAUAACAAGGGACUGCCUCAGUCUACGAUUUCUUUUGAUGGAAUCUAUGCAAAUAUGAGGAUGGUUCAUAUACUUACAUCAGUUGUUGGAUCCAAAUGUGAAGUACAAGUGAAAAAUGGAGGUAUAUAUGAAGGAGUUUUUAAAACAUACAGUCCUAAGUGUGAUUUGGUCCUUGAUGCUGCACAUGAGAAAAGUACAGAAUCCAGUUCAGGGCCAAAGCGUGAAGAAAUAAUGGAGAGUAUUUUGUUUAAGUGUUCAGACUUCGUUGUGGUACAAUUUAAAGAUAUGGACUCCAGUUAUGCAAGAAGAGUUGCUUCAGAAACAGAUGCUUUUACUGACUCAGCUAUCAGUGCUAAAGUGAACGGUGAGCACAAAGAGAAGGACCUGGAGCCCUGGGAUGCUGGGGAGCUCACUGCCAGUGAGGAGCUCGAAGCUUUGGAAAACGACGUCUCUAAUGGAUGGGAUCCCAAUGAUAUGUUUCGAUAUAAUGAAGAAAAUUAUGGUGUAGUGUCUACAUAUGAUAGCAGUUUAUCUUCAUAUACCGUGCCCUUAGAAAGGGAUAAUUCAGAAGAAUUUUUAAAACGAGAAGCAAGAGCAAACCAAUUAGCAGAAGAAAUUGAAUCAAGUGCCCAGUACAAAGCCCGGGUAGCCCUGGAAAAUGAUGAUAGGAGCGAAGAAGAAAAAUACACAGCAGUUCAGAGAAAUUCCAGUGAACGCGAGAGUCACAGCAUCAACACUAGGGAAAAUAAAUAUAUUCCUCCUGGACAAAGAAAUAGAGAAGUCAUGUCCUGGGGAAGUGGGCGACAGAAUUCACCGCGUAUGGGCCAGCCUGGACCGGGCUCCAUGGCAUCAAGAUCCACUUCUCACACAUCAGAUUUCAACCCGAAUUCUGGUUCAGACCAAAGAGUAGUUAAUGGAGUUUUUAUACUUUCCUUCAUAUCAUUUGUUCUGUCAGGUGUUCCCUGGCCAUCGCCUUGCCCAUCUCCUUCCUCUCGCCCACCUUCUCGCUACCAGUCAGGUCCCAACUCUCUUCCACCUCGGGCAGCCACCCCUACACGGCCGCCCUCCAGGCCCCCCUCGCGGCCAUCCAGACCCCCGUCUCACCCCUCUGCUCAUGGUUCUCCAGCUCCUGUCUCUACUAUGCCUAAACGCAUGUCUUCAGAAGGGCCUCCAAGGAUGUCCCCAAAGGCCCAGCGACACCCUCGAAAUCACAGAGUUUCUGCUGGAAGGGGUUCCAUUUCCAGUGGACUAGAAUUUGUAUCCCAUACUCCACCGAGUGAAGCAGUGGCUCCUCCCACAGCAAGGACCAGUCCAGCGGGGGGCACGUGGUCAUCUGUGGUCAGCGGGGUUCCAAGAUUAUCCCCCAAAACUCACAGACCCAGGUCUCCCAGACAGAACAGUAUUGGAAAUACUCCUAGUGGACCAGUUCUUGCUUCUCCCCAAGCUGGUAUUAUUCCCACGGAAGCUGUUGCUAUGCCUGUUCCAGCUGCAUCUCCCACGCCUGCCAGUCCUGCAUCUAACAGAGCUGUCACCCCGUCUAUUGAGGCUAAGGAUUCCAGGCUUCAAGAUCAGAGGCAGAACUCUCCUGCAGGGAAUAAGGAAAACAUGAAGCCCAAUGAGACAUCACCCAGCUUCUCAAAAGUUGAAAAUAAAGGUAUAUCACCAGUUGUUUCCGAGCAUAGAAAACAGAUUGAUGACUUAAAGAAAUUUAAGAAUGAUUUUAGGUUACAGCCAAGUUCUACUUCUGAAUCUGUGGAUCAACUGCUAAACAAAAAUAGAGAGGGAGAAAAAUCAAGAGAUUUGAUCAAAGACAAAAUUGAACCAAAUGCUAAGGAUUCUUUCAUUGAAAAUAACAGCAGCAACUGCACCAGUGGCAGCAGCAAGCCGAGCAGCCCCAGCGUUUCCCCCUCGAUCCUCAGUCACACGGAGCACAGGAGGGGUCCUGAGGUCACCUCCCAAGGAGUGCAGACGUCCAGCCCCGGAUGUAAACCAGAGAAAGAUGAUAAAGAGGAGAAAAAAGACGCAGCUGAGCAAGUGAGGAAAUCAACAUUGAAUCCCAACGCAAAGGAAUUCAACCCUCGUUCUUUUUCUCAGCCAAAGCCUUCUACCACCCCAACUUCGCCUCGCCCUCAAGCACAACCUAGCCCAUCCAUGGUGGGUCAUCAGCAGCCAACUCCAGUUUAUACUCAGCCUGUUUGUUUUGCACCAAAUAUGAUGUAUCCAGUCCCAGUGAGCCCAGGCGUGCAACCAUUAUACCCUAUACCUAUGACGCCCAUGCCAGUGAAUCAGGCCAAGACAUAUAGAGCAGGUAAAGUACCAAAUAUGCCCCAGCAACGGCAAGACCAGCAUCAUCAGAGCACCAUGAUGCAUCCCGCCUCAGCGGCAGGCCCGCCAAUUGUGGCCACCCCACCAGCGUAUUCCACACAGUACGUUGCCUAUAGUCCUCAGCAGUUUCCAAAUCAGCCUCUUGUUCAGCACGUGCCCCAUUAUCAGUCUCAGCACCCUCAUGUCUACAGCCCUGUGAUACAGGGCAGUGCCAGGAUGAUGGCCCCAGCGGCCCACGCCCAGCCGGGCCUCGUGUCUUCCUCAGCUGCUCAGUACGGGGCUCACGAGCAGACACAUGCGAUGUAUGCAUGUCCCAAAUUACCAUACAACAAGGAGACAAGCCCUUCUUUCUACUUUGCCAUUUCCACUGGCUCCCUUGCUCAGCAGUAUGCGCACCCUAAUGCUACCCUGCACCCACAUACUCCACAUCCUCAGCCUUCAGCCACCCCCACUGGACAGCAGCAAAGCCAACAUGGUGGAAGUCACCCUGCACCCAGUCCCGUCCAGCACCAUCAGCACCAAGCCGCCCAGGCUCUCCACCUGGCGGGUCCGCAGCAGCAGUCAGCCAUUUACCACGCGGGGCUCGCACCAACCCCGCCGUCCAUGACACCUGCUUCCAACACGCAGUCGCCACAGAACAGUUUCCCAGCAGCACAGCAGACAGUCUUCACAAUCCACCCUUCUCACGUCCAGCCGGCAUACACCAACCCGCCCCACAUGGCCCACGUACCUCAGUUCUGGUUCAAGGUAUCUCUAGGAAAAGACAAGACUGAGAUACUCUCUUUGGUGGAUAGAGGUCUGCUUCAGAAGGAAGGCUGGCCAGAGUUGGGCAGCAUUGAAACUCCACACCCUCAGCCUGACGCUGAUUCUAAAUGAUCAGAGGCAGAAGAUUUAUACCAGAUAAAGCCAUAUGGAUUGCUGGUCUAAAAUUCAAGGCAGGUCCUGAGUGAGCCUGGCUAGAGCAGGAGGCUCCGGGGCACCCUAGAACCCUACACUGCCCCCCAUCGCCUCCAUUUCCUCUGGUGACAAGCCCGAUAAGCUUGUUUCUUCAGGGUCAUGAGAUGUCGCUGGCUGCUUCCAGCAGAGACCAAAGUAGAUAAGAUGGCGGAAAGAGCCCGAGAUGGGUUGGGGAAGCCCCCCUGCCUCCAGCAGCUCUUUUCCCUGGGCCAGGAAGAAAGCCAGGUGCACCUGGGGAACAGCACAGCCCCUAACACAUUGCACAGGGUGGGGGUGGGGGUGGAAACAAGAGGUGGGCUUUGGGGGAUCCGACCUCUACUUCUGCCCAGAGGCUGCCUUUUUUCCAGAGCUGACCCCCAAAGCCCGGCGCUUCCCCAUGCCGUAGGCACGCAGGAGCGGGGCACCUCUGACCCAGGGCCGCUGCCUGCCUGCAAUCCCCUCCCACACGGAGGCGAGCGGGCAGACUGGCAAGUGAGGGUUGGCCAAACAGAGGCUCUUCCCAGUCCAGGCCCCUCCCAGCAGGUCCAAGUCCUGCCCUGGCUGCUGGACACAGCAUCUGGGGACAGUAACAGCAGCUCUAGGAACCACUCACUUUGUCUAACAUCACAAGUUGAGGGAACAGAGCCCGGAGGGGUGGCACAGCUAGUAAAUCCCAGCCCCAGUGUUUUCACCUUUCCAGUCUCUCUUCCCCAUCCCUUCCUUGUAACCCAGUUUCUCAGCCUGGGAGUCAGGUGUGGGGCCUGUGCACCCCUGGCAGCGUUGACAGCCAGCCAGUCUCGGAGCCUGUUUCCUGUCUACAAAAGGCUCCACCCCCGCAGCUGAGGAACUGCUGACCUGGCGGCUGCGGUGGGAAGAGGAUUCCCCCUCGGCACCUGAGGGCCCUGGCCCACAAGUGAUGUGGAACUCGUCCUGGCCACUUACCUUCCUGAGGCUGAGCAUGACGGCUUCCUCCCGUCUCCCCGGUAAGAACUGGGCUCUGAAGCAGGGGCACUAACUACGUGCUGCCUGAGCGUGGGCAAUGCCAGAGGCUCUGCCCAGACUGGAGGCGGGAGAGCCUGAGGACAGGACAGCCCCACCUGGACUGGGCUAGACAGGAUUCGGGAGCACCAGGUGCCUUUCUGGUUGGGCGCUGUGAGGGCACAGAACUGUGGUGGAAGCGAAGAUGCAAACCAGCUCUGCCACUAUCCUCACAGUAGGGUCUGCCCUCUACAGCUACCCUUGCUUUAUAAUCCCUCCAGGCUCUAAGGAUUAGUGUGGUGGCCGGCUGGGGCCUGAGGCCAGCCAGGUGGGUCCACUACAGCGGCAGAGGACUAGGUUACAGACCACCCUCAGCAUGCAGCUCCCUCUCCACCUGCCAGAGUGUGGUACCAUGCUCCUUUCCACCCUGCAGUGAAAUUCACACCUCCUAUUACCUACAUGCCUGAGACAAUCUACAUUAAAGUAAAAUGUAUUUC